rfam:Oryza brachyantha chromosome 1, whole genome shotgun sequence.
AAUAACCUUAUUUUUCGUUUUACCGUGUUUAACGUUUGACCAUUCGUUUUAUUUGAAAAAUUUAUAAAAAACUUAAAAAAAUAAUCACUUAUAAAGUACUAUUCAUAUUUUAUCAUCUAGUAACAAUAAAAAUAUUAAUCGCAAAAAAAUUUCAAAUAAGACGAAUGAUCAAUCGUUGAACACGGAAAA